GGAGGGUACAGCUCAGUGGGAGAGCAGGUGCUUGGCAUGCAGGAUCCCCUGGGUUCAAUCCCCAGUCCCUCCA
rnacentral:tRNA from 1 species